UUUGAUCAAGAGCGAGACCAUAUUCAGCUUUCCCCACUUGCAGGCAACAUGCAGCGGUGUAAUGUUGUGCUUCGCGGUAAAAUUUACAUCGGCACCUUUUUCGAUCAGCAGCUGAGCGACAUUGACAUUCCCAUAGUGGGCGGCUAUGUGCAACGGCGUGAAACCACUCUUGGAAGACACGUCCGGAUUGUGCUCGUUCUGAAAGCAAUGAAUGGGCCAUCAAUUACUAUCAUUAAACGCAACUGGGAGCAGCCAAUUAUAUCUGAUAGAUACAGCUUUGACGUCAUCCUUUUUGGCUGCUAUAUGGAGCGCCGGUAGUCGCACCUUACCGCGAGUAUCACUUUCCAGCAAAACGGCAACGACUUUGUCGUGACCUUGCUGCAUUGCUACGGCCAGAGGUGUGAAUCCGUCCUACAAUAAGGUCAGCCAGGGCCGGAUUCGCUCCUUUUGCCAGCAAUAAGUUCACGCAUUCGUCAUGGUUCUCCUGGGCCGCCAUGUAGAGCGGCGUGAAGCCAUUCUGCGAUUGUACAUUCACCGAGGCAUUGUAGUGCAGCAGCAGCUGGAUGAUGUCUUUCUGGCCCGCCAAUGAGGCUAUGUGAAGUGCCGUGUUACCUUUUUUCGUUGCAUUGUCCACGUUUGCCUCACGUUUCAGCAGCUCCUGAACAAUGUCGUAGUGCCCAUCCUUGGCGGCGAGGUGCAAGGCAUUGAGCCCGUUCUGCAGAGGAGAAGAGCAAAAAAUUAUUUUAACAACGUAAUACGAAAAACAUUUUACUACGAUGAUGAUUAAUUGACGUAACAUUUUGUAGAAAUAUGAAUGUUCCAUAACAUGAUAUUUGUUACAGAAGGCAGUAAAAAUUUCAUUUAAUAAAAAAUAAGAUACAAAACUGCGUACUAAACAAUUGUUGUACAAGUCUACAGUCAACUAUUUAGUUCAGUCUCAUAGUACUUAUUGCUAGAUUAAGAGAGAUCAUUUUUGUUUUGCUGUAAAAUCUCACUAAGACAAACUAGUUUCGUCUUGUUGCAAUGCACAUUACUUUUACCGCAUCUCGCGUUCUGAAGUUUGUUUUAAGGGAUUAUAUAGCUUUUUAGUUCCCAAAAAAUCGAAUUUUUUUUAUUGCAUUAUCUUGAAGUACAUCUUGAGAACAUUUUCACAAAUUUUUAUGAAGAUCUGAGCAAUAAGGAGAAAGCUAGAGCGAUUCGCAGCGCGCCUCGCCAAGGCCGCAUAAGCUAAACUUGAAACUUUACACGCGUUUAUCUCGGAAUGAUGUUUCUCAAAAAAUGACUUUGUCGUGAUCCUGAUUGCGGGAAAACUACUGAACCGAUUUCCUUCAUCUUUUUCUAUAACUUUCGUUAUUAAAUCGCCGGUCCUUGAACGAUCGCUUUUUUAAACAUACAGUUACAUUUUGCCGCAAAAAAAAUUUAAAUACAAUUUUUAGCUCAAAACGUGCAUUUUUUGGGAAAAAAAGUUCUCUUUUGCACUGGAAACAAAAUACUCAUAAGAGCGAUCGUUCAAGGACACGACACACUUUUAA